rnacentral:rRNA from 1 species
GACGAACGCUGGCGGCGUGCUUAACACAUGCAAGUCGAGCGGUAAGGCCCUUUCGGGGGUACACGAGCGGCGAACGGGUGAGUAACACGUGGGUGACCUGCCCUCAGCUCUGGGAUAAGCCUGGGAAACCGGGUCUAAUACUGGAUAUGACUCCAUGACGCAUGUUGUGGGGUGGAAAGCCUUGUGCGGCUGAGGAUGGGCCCGCGGCCUAUCAGCUUGUUGGUGGGGUGANGGCCUACCAAGGCGACGACGGGUAGCCGGCCUGAGAGGGCGACCGGCCACACUGGGACUGAGACACGGCCCAGACUCCUACGGGAGGCAGCAGUGGGGAAUCUUGCGCAAGUGGGACGAAGCCUGACGCAGCGACGCCGCGU